UCCUGGCUUAGGACGAACGCUGGCGGCGUGCCUAACACAUGCAAGUCGAGCGGGGACAUUGCGACGGAGGCGAAGUACUCGUACGGAGUCAAAGAUGUAAUGUCUAGCGGCGGACGGGUGAGUAACGCGUGAGCAACCUGUCCCUUACAGGGGGAUAACACAGCGAAAGUUGUACUAAUACCGCAUAAGACCACAGGAUGACAUCGUCCAGGGGUCAAAGGAGCAAUCCGGUAAGGGGUGGGCUCGCGUCCGAUUAGAUAGUUGGUGAGGUAACGGCCCACCAAGUCGACGAUCGGUAGCCGACCUGAGAGGGUGAUCGGCCACAAUUGGGACUGAGACACGGCCCAAACUCCUACGGGAGGCAGCAGUGGGGAAUAUUGGGCAAAUGGGGGAAACCCUGACCCAGCAACGCCGCGUGAGGGAAGAAGGUUUUCGGAUCGUAAACCUCUGUCCCAGGUGAAGAGGAAGAGACGGUAGCCUGGGAGGAAGCCCCGGCUAACUACGUGCCAGCCGCCGC
rnacentral:rRNA from 1 species